CGAAACGGAGAUUAGGCAGGCGAUGAAAACUCCACAUCGAACAGAUCCUAAUUGCAAAGCGUAGCAUACAUUUAAUGUUACGAACACCUGAAAAAUAAUGUUUAUUGAUAUUUUUCGUGAAGUUUACCUGUGACGCCGAGUCACAUCCAUGAUCGAAAAGUUCUCCCAGAGGACUAGACGCCCCAAUCCUUCUUGCUUGUUUUCCAUCAGUUGCAUCUAACGUUUGAUACACAAAAAGCCCGAAUGCGGCCAGAAAAUAGGCCCACGC
ensembl:antisense_RNA Y49A3A.6 ncRNA